UGGCUCAGUGGUAGAGCACUUGCCUUGCAUGCAUGAGGCUCUGGGUUCGAUUCUCAG
rnacentral:tRNA from 1 species